UGGAGGAAGAUGGAAGCUUGCGUGUGU
rnacentral:piRNA from 1 species